UAAUUGCUUAUAAAUUCAUAUCAGAACUGGAUGAUGCUGUGUCUAUGAAUCGGUGAUGAAUUAAUGUGUUAACGAUUUCAUAAUGUUCUAUCACAGAUUAAUGGUUUCUUGGUCCAACAGCCAAUCAUUUACAACAACAGAAAAUCAGCCAUAUUUAAUUAUGACUUUGUAUAUCCAAAGGUUAUGUCCUUCACUCUGUUUCAUCUGAUUUUUGUUAGAUGUUUUUUAUGUAUGUGGCUAAGUUAUGUGAUGUAUCUUCAUUUUUGUUAGAUUUAUGGAGAAUCAUAUUAUCACGGCGAAGUGGGGAGAUUCAGGUAUAUUAGUGUUCAAGGGUCAUUAAUUGGUGGAUCCAAGAAAACUAUUGGGAGUUGGUUUCUUUCUUUUAAAAGAACCGUCUUUUCACCAAUCAGUUUGUAUUUGGUUCCAUGAUCAACUUGGAUUAUUUCUGCAGAGAUGGUUACUUUAAAGGAGCAAAAGUAAGAAUGAAGAUGGAGAGAGAGAGAGAGAGAGAGAUAGAGAGAGAGAGAGAGAGAUAGAGAGAGAGAGAGAGCAUGCAUAUAGACGAGCUAUGAAGACCUUUGUGAAAUGGAUUCGAGAAAGGUUUUCUUCAAACAAAACAGAAGUCUUCUUUGUACAUUUUCUCACGCUCCUUCUUGAGGAAAAUAACUAUUUCGAAGAUGCUUUCAAGGUGUAUGAAAGAGGCGUCAAGACAUUCAAGUAUCCUCAUGUGAAAGACAUAUGGGUAAGACAAAGCUGGAGCGUGCCAGAGUUUGUUCGAGUAUGAUGCUUCAAUGCCCUAUCAGAUGCUGACAGGACCUUAUACCUUCAAUAAACCAAGCUAGAAGAGGAUUACGGUCUGGCCAAGCGAGCUAUGAAUGUUUAUGAAAAAACCAAAGAGGUUUCUGAAGGCCAAAUGUCACAAGUAUGAGGUGCAUCAUGGGAAUGAAGACACAUACAGAAAAAUGCUUCGGAUCAAGAGAAGUUUCGCAAGUUACAGUCAGGUUUGCUCUCCAGUUCUUACAGUCAGGUGAUUUUGCUGGUUUCCAUUGUUUUCAGCUCAGAAACAACUGUUUGUUGUCAAUUUUGAGGAUCCAUCUGUUGUACUUUUAGCAGUUGGAAGCUGAAUGACCUGACCGUAUUUAAUAUUUUUGGUUCAGAUUUAUUCCACUCUGCCAUAGAACAUGAUGCAAAAAGACAAGAUGGUAGAUAUGGAGGGGCAAAAGGCGAGCUGAAGAAACCAGGUUUCACAGAAGAUUAAAUGGCAGCUCAUGCCCGCAACAUCUGCCACAAUUAUAUCAAAAGAUGGUGGAAUGCAACUCGGGUUUGUGAACACUUUGCUUCCUUAAGAAAGUAAUGAUGAGUCGGAUGGAGAAGACAAAGUAGAGAUGGCUUAGAAAGAAGUCCAAGCUGCUAUGUUUGGAGGACUUGCUAGAAAGAGAGACGAAGAUGGGGUGAAAACGGUGCAAGCUAAACCAAAACAGCACAUAAAAUUUAGUACUUAGCACUCGCGUCAACAUCAUCAAUAAAAAUAUACUUCAACAAA